rnacentral:rRNA from 1 species
GAUGAACGCUGGCGGCGUGCCUAAUACAUGCAAGUCGAGCGAAUGGAUUAAGAGCUUGCUCUUAUGAAGUUAGCGGCGGACGGGUGAGUAACACGUGGGUAACCUGCCCAUAAGACUGGGAUAACUCCGGGAAACCGGGGCUAAUACCGGAUAACAUUUUGAACCGCAUGGUUCGAAAUUGAAAGGCGGCUUCGGCUGUCACUUAUGGAUGGACCCGCGUCGCAUUAGCUAGUUGGUGAGGUAACGGCUCACCAAGGCAACGAUGCGUAGCCGACCUGAGAGGGUGAUCGGCCACACUGGGACUGAGACACGGCCCAGACCCCUACGGGAGGCAGCAGUAGGGAAUCUUCUGCAAUGGACGAAAGUCUGACGGAGCAACGCCGCGUGAGUGAGGAAGGCUUUCGGGUCGUAAAACUCUGUUGUUAGGGAAGAACAAGUGCUAGUUGAAUAAGCUGGCACCUUGACGGUACCUAACCAGAAAGCCACGGCUAACUACGUGCCAGCCGCCGCCGUAA